rnacentral:rRNA from 1 species
UACGUAGGGUGCGAGCGUUGUCCGGAAUCACUGGGCAUAAAGAGCGCGUAGGCGGUCUGACAAGUCCCCUGUGAAAGCCCCCGGCUUAACCGGGGAACUGCAUGGGAUACUGUUGGGCUAGAGUGCAGGAGGGGAGAGCGGAAUUCCUGGUGGAGCGGUGAAAUGCGUAGAUAUCAGGAGGAACGCCGGCGGCGAAAGCGACUCUCUGGCCUGUAACUGACGCUGAGGCGCGAAAGCUAGGGGAGCAAACGGG